UACGGAGGGGACUAGCGUUGUUCGGAAUUACUGGGCGUAAAGCGCACGUAGGCGGAUUGUUUAGUCAGGGGUGAAAUCCCGAGGCUCAACCUCGGAACUGCCUUUGAUACUGGCAAUCUCGAGUCCGGAAGAGGUGAGUGGAAUUCCUAGUGUAGAGGUGAAAUUCGUAGAUAUUAGGAAGAACACCAGUGGCGAAGGCGGCCCACUGGUCCGGUACUGACGCUGAGGUGCGAAAGCGUGGGGAGCAAACAGG
rnacentral:rRNA from 1 species